rnacentral:rRNA from 1 species
GACGAACGCUGGCGGCGUGCUUAACACAUGCAAGUCGUACGGUAAGGCCCUUUCGGGGGUACACGAGUGGCGAACGGGUGAGUAACACGUGAGUAACCUGCCCACAACUUUGGGAUAACGCUAGGAAACUGGUGCUAAUACUGGAUAUGUGCUCCUGCUGCAUGGUGGGGGUUGGAAAGCUCCGGCGGUUGUGGAUGGACUCGCGGCCUAUCAGCUUGUUGGUGGGGUAGUGGCCUACCAAGGCGGCGACGGGUAGCCGGCCUGAGAGGGUGACCGGCCACAUUGGGACUGAGAUACGGCCCAGACUCCUACGGGAGGCAGCAGUGGGGAAUAUGGCACAAUGGGCGCAAGCCUGAUGCAGCAACGCCGCGUGCGGGAUGACGGCCUUCGGGUUGUAAACCGCUUUCAGCAGGGACGAAGCUUUUUGUGACGGUACCUGCAGAAGAAGCACCGGCUAACUACGUG